rnacentral:lncRNA from 1 species
UUCCCUUUAUUGCAAUUCUCAACCAAUUGUUCACUGUUUCCAUUGGUUGCAUUGACUGCAAUAACUGCAAAUUCAGGUCUCACUUGCCUCCCAGAAUCAGUUUGUGCAAUCUGCUGAGGGUUAGCUAACAGAUUCUCAUUUACAUGGUCCUGCACUACCUGAACCUCCAACACUUCUGAGAUAACAGCAUUUUCAUGGUCAAC